AAUCUAUUUCACUAUCAUUACCAAAAUCCAGACUGAAAUUAGCUAGAAUCCAAUCUUGCAGUCCGAGAUUGAAGAAUUCUCCCACCCUUUGAGGAUUUAGCAGCAAGGUCCAUACAACAGAAGCUCCAGGGCAGUCUCUAAUGACAUGGAUAGGGGUAUCAAUGUCCGGGUCACAAUACAGGCAAUUCUGGUUAUUACCUCAUCUCCACUUUGCAGUCUUGGCCGCUGUUAGAAUUCCUCCAUGAGUUAAUUGCCAGACAAAAAUUUUUGCUCUUUGGAGACCCUUCCAUUCCCAGAUACUCUGCCAUAUCUUGUUAUGGCUUUGAGUCUAGUUCAUGAGAAUCCUGUAGGCAUUCAUUUUUUGGUUUGCCUCCUCACACGACAAAAUAGGAGAGGCUACAUUCGCAAGGAUAAUUCUAUAAUCCAUCCACUGGUCCUUCCAAAAAAGAUACUCUCCCCAUCACCUAUCAAGUGACCUAUAUUUGUUGUUACCAUAUUCCAUAUCUCAGCCAGACUUCUCCAAAGGAUAGAGUCUCCACCCUUAGCAAUAAUGGUAUGUUACAAAUUAUGAUGUCUAUCGUAUUUUCCUAUUAAAACUUGAGCCCAGAAUUGAUUUUGUUAAUUGAUCAAUUGCCAUCCUCUUUUGACAAGGAAUGCUUCACUAACUUUGUCUAGCUUUUUUAUUUCCAACUUCCCUUCUCCUUUAGGUUUGGUAAGAAUCUCCUAUCUAAUGAGAUGGACUUCUUUGGAGGUGCUAUCAUGCCCCCAAAUGAACACGCGUUGUGAAUUCUCAAUAGCCAGACAAGUACUCUUGGGGAGGCAAUCGUGUUGCAUAGGAUAAAUAGCCAUAGCACCAAUUACCGAUUGAGCCAAGGUAAUCCUCCCAACCAUAGAUAAACAAUUAGUCUUCCAGCCCUGGAGCUUAGCUUUAAUCUGAUCAAUAAUAUACCAAAUCUAUUAUUUUUUCUUCCGGAGUUGUGGAUAAAAGCACCAAGAUAUCUACCAAUCUCUUUGACUUCUAAGUACCCACUUAUGUGAGUGAUGUUCUGUCUAGUCUCCGAAGGCACAUUCCUUGAGAAAAAAAACAUUGGUUUGUGCUUGGUUAAUAAGAUGGCCAGAUUCUUCACAGAAAUCUUUCAGGAUACUCAUAAUGCUACGCAUUUGAUCUGACGUAGUCUCUGAGAAAAGGAUUAAAUCAUCAGCAAACAUAAGGUGAGACAUAUUUGGGGCCAUUUCUACCUGCAUUCAUUGGUCUCCAGAUUUUCUUUUCAACAGCUUCAGAGAUGAUGUACGACAAUUUAUCCAUACAGAUGACGAAUAUAUAGGGGUACAAGGGAACCCCUUGUCUAAUACCUCUAGAGGGAACACACUCAUCCGUUUUUUGACCAUUCCACAAAGUGGAGAAGCUGGUAGAAGUCACACAGUUCAUGAUGAUGGUACACAACUCUGAGGGAAUACCGAAUUGGGUUAGGGAAAACUUUAUGAAACUCCAAGCUAGUUUGUCAUAAGCCUUAGUUAAAUCAAUUUUAAUUGUCAUAAAGCCCUUGCUACCUCUCAUCUUUCUCAUCAUAUGAACUAUUUCUUAAAUAAUAAUGAUAUUGUCAUGAAUAUUUUUGCUAGGAACAAAGCUAGAUUGAUGGGGAGAAACUCUAUUUUUGAGGAAAGGCUUUAAUUUUUCCACCAUGAUCUUCGAAAAGCCUUUGUACAAAACAUUGCAUAACGUGAUAUGGGUCAAAAUUGGGAAAGGAAUUCUGGUUUAUCCACCUUUGGAAUGAGUACAAGCAGGGUCUUGUCAAUAAACUUCACUUCCUCUGGGUUCCUCCAAAUAUUCAAUAUCACCUCUUUUACAUCCCUAUAAAUGUCAUUCCAAUACAUAAAAUCUAGGAGUUCAGAGUGGCUUGAAACCGGC